UACGAAGGGUGCAAGCGUUAAUCGGAAUUACUGGGCGUAAAGCGUGCGUAGGUGGUCUUUUAAGUCCGUUGUGAAAGCCCUGGGCUCAACCUGGGAAUGGCAGUGGAUACUGGAAGGCUGGAGUACGGUAGAGGAGGGUGGAAUUCCCGGUGUAGCGGUGAAAUGCGUAGAGAUCGGGAGGAACAUCAGUGGCGAAGGCGGCCCUCUGGACCGAUACUGACGCUGAGGAGCGAAAGCCAGGGGAGCAAACGGG
rnacentral:rRNA from 1 species